CUUAGAGCAAACCAACGUCCUGGUUACAAUAUGAGCGUUCUCUCUGUAUCCUUAAGUUGGUUUCCGUCUCUCCACAUGUGGAGGGACUUCGGCGUGUAGCUGCGUGUUUCGCCCUGCCUCUUGGGGCUUUCUCAAGCUUUGUGUAUUUAAGACCCUGCUAGCUAAUCUACAGAAAACAAUACCAGCUGAUGUUGCAGCUCUACAGAUGGAACUCACAGGCCUCACAGGAUGGCUCAAGGCUGUGGACAUACUCCAUGGCUCACAAUGCUGCAGCAAUCAGCCCAGGGCGUGCAACACAUUCCGGUUGUGCAUGAGUGCCGCUUCC